UACAGAGGGGGCAAGCGUUGUUCGGAAUUACUGGGCGUAAAGGGCGCGUAGGCGGUCUUGUAAGUCUUGUGUGAAAUCCCUCGGCUCAACUGAGAAACUGCACGGGAUACUGCGAGACUUGAGUUCGGGAGAGGGAAGCGGAAUUCCGGGUGUAGCGGUGAAAUGCGUAGAUAUCCGGAGGAACACCGGUGGCGAAGGCGGCUUCCUGGACCGAUCACUGACGCUGAGGCGCGAAAGCUAGGGGAGCAAACGGG
rnacentral:rRNA from 1 species